rnacentral:rRNA from 1 species
UACGUAGGGUGCAAGCGUUGUCCGGAAUUAUUGGGCGUAAAGAGCUCGUAGGCGGUUUGUCGCGUCUGCUGUGAAACCCGAGGCUCAACCUCGGGCCUGCAGUGGGUACGGGCAGACUAGAGUGCGGUAGGGGAGAUUGGAAUUCCUGGUGUAGCGGUGGAAUGCGCAGAUCAUCAGGAGGAACACCGAUGGCGAAGGCAGAUCUCUGGGCCGUAACUGACGCUGAGGAGCGAAAGCAUGGGAGCGACAGG